AUUGAACGCUGGCGGCAGGCCUAACACAUGCAAGUCGAGCGGAUGAAGGGAGCUUGCUCCUGGAUUCAGCGGCGGACGGUUGAGUAAUUCCUAGGAAUCUGCCUGGUAGUGAGGGAUAACGUCCGCAAACGGGAGCUCAUGCCGCAUACGUCCUGAGGGAGAAAGUGGGGAUCGUCGGACCUCACGCUCUCUGAUCAGCCUAGGUCGGAUUAUCUAGUUGGUGGGGUAAAGGCCUACCAAGGCGACGAUCCGUAACUGGUCUGAGAGGAUGAUCAGUCACACUGGAAUUGAGACGCGGUCCAAAAUCCGACGGGAGGCACCGGUGCAAAAUAUUGGAGAAUGGGCGGAAGCCUGAUCUAGCCAUGCCGCGUGUGUGAAGAACGUCUUCGGAUUGUGAAGCACUUAAAGUUGGGAGGCAGGGAAGUAAGUUAAUACCUUGCUGUUUUGACGUUACCAACAGAAUAAGCGCCGGCUAACUUCGUG
rnacentral:rRNA from 1 species